rnacentral:tRNA from 1 species
UCCCUUGUGGCUCAGACGGUAAAGCAUCUGCCUACAAUGCGGGAGACCUGGGUUCGAUUCCUGGGUUGGGAA